UACGUAGGGUGCGAGCGUUGUCCGGAAUUAUUGGGCGUAAAGAGCUUGUAGGCGGUUUGUCGCGUCUGCUGUGAAAUCUCAAGGCUCAACCUUGAGCUUGCAGUGGGUACGGGCAGACUAGAGUGAUGUAGGGGAGACUGGAAUUCCUGGUGUAGCGGUGAAAUGCGCAGAUAUCAGGAGGAACACCGAUGGCGAAGGCAGGUCUCUGGGCAUUAACUGACGCUGAGGAGCGAAAGCAUGGGGAGCGAACAGG
rnacentral:rRNA from 1 species